UGGCCCGUGGUGUAACGGUAGCACCCCAGAUUUUGGUUCUGGUUGUCCUGGUUCGAAUCCAGGCGGGUCAG
rnacentral:tRNA from 1 species